CUGGUAAACAGCUAAUUCUUGAGUAGUAGAACUAAGGUUCGAAAUUUAGACUGAGAUGGCAGAUCUCGAUUCGGGUUAGAGGGACAUGUUCUUAAUAGACACAGCACUAGCAUCUUACUUCUUAGUAGUAAUCACUUCACACACCGCCAUUUUAUAUCAGCUGAGGAAUACUCUAUGGGAGUUAUCUUUAGAGAGGGGUAUUUAGGUCAAGGCGUGGGAGAUCUAGGGAGAACGGAUGUGUUCCAUUGGAACCUUGCUUAACAGUAAGGGAAUAUUGAAUUUAAUAGUAAGAUUCCUCCAACAAAGGGGUCUGAAAACGUACAUCAGAUUGC
rnacentral:rRNA from 1 species